rnacentral:rRNA from 1 species
UACGUAGGCAGCGAGCGUUGUUCGGAAUUACUGGGCGUAAAGAGUGUGUAGGCGGUGCUCUAAGUUCGGUGUGAAAUCUCCCGGCUUAACUGGGAGGGUGCGCCGGAAACUGGAGUGCUCGAGCGUGGGAGAGGAAAGCGGAAUUCCUGGUGUAGCGGUGAAAUGCGUAGAUAUCAGGAGGAACACCUGCGGUGUAGACGGCUCACUGGACCAUAACUGACGCUGAUGCACGAAAGCUAGGGGAGCAAACAGG